CCAAUCACUGGCUAAGGGCCCGGUAUAAAAGCAGCUAGUUGUCCUCCUUCCGCCCUCUCUUGCUCGUUGGUGACGGAAGUCCUCUACACUUCCGGGUCACUCACUCCGUGAGGUGUUUUGCUGUGCUACAGAUCUUCGGUUGGCGGGCCAUCCUUCACCAUACCGGUUGAACGCCGUAAAUGAAAAGCGAGUAACACUGAUAGCUGCUACGGUUUGCAUGCUCGGAGCUGCCUCCCUCUGGGUCUACUAAAACGCUGCUUGAACGGAAUGCUGAAGCCGCCGGAGAUCCCUGUUAGCUGUAACACUUCAACUACUGGCUGCUGUUUUGCCUAAGAAAGCUUUUGCCUAAGAAAGCUUUUGCCUAAGAAAGCUUUUGCCGAGGCUGCUGUCUGUCGAGAUUGCUGUUUUGCCUAAGGAGGCUUUUGCCGAGACUGCCACUGCUGCUAUUUAAAAAUCGUAUUGAGUAUUGUUGCACGCCUGUGUUGCCUUCAUGGCUACUGGGCCGAUG